CGCUGGCGGCGUGCUUAAUACAUGCAAGUCAACUUGACUUUAGAUAGCAAUAUCGAAAAGUAGUGUGGCGCACGGGUGCGUAACGCGUAGGUAAUCUGCCCUGAGGUCUGACAUAACCCGUCGAAAGGCGGGCUAACAUCAGAUGAUAUAUAAUCACGACAUCGUGGAAAUAUCAAAUCUUCGGAGCCUUGGGAUGAGCCUGCGUCUGAUUAGGUAGUUGGCGGAGUAAUAGCCCACCAAGCCUACGAUCAGUAGCUGGUCUGAGAGGAUGAUCAGCCACACUGGAACUGAGACACGGUCCAGACUCCUACGGGAGGCAGCAGUAAGGAAUAUUGCUCAAUGGGGGAAACCCUGAAGCAGCAACGCCGCGUGAAGGAUGAAAUACUUUGUAUGUAAACUUCUGUAAGAUGGGAAAAUAUUCUCCUCGGGAGAAUUGAUUGUACCAUCAGAGUAAGCCCCGGCUAACUACGUG
rnacentral:rRNA from 1 species